GACAGAGGAUGCAAGCGUUAUCCGGAAUGAUUGGCGUAAGCGUCUGUAGGUGGCUUUUAAGUCCGCCGUCAAAUCCCAGGGCUCAACCUCGGACAGGCGGUGGAAACUACCAAGCUGGAGUACGGUAGGGGCAGAGGGAAUUUCCGGUGGAGCGGUGAAAUGCGUAGAGAUCGGAAAGAACACCAACGGCGAAAGCAACUCUGCUGGGCCGACACUGACACUGAGAGACGAAAGCUAGGGGAGCGAAUGGG
rnacentral:rRNA from 1 species